UGGGGAAUAUUGGACAAUGGGCGCAAGCCUGAUCCAGCAAUGCCGCGUGUGUGAAGAAGGCCUGCGGGUUGUAAAGCACUUUAAGCAGGAAAGAAGGCUUCAAGGCUAACAUCCUUGGAGAUUGACGUUACCUGCAGAAUAAGCACCGGCUAACUCCGUGCCAGCAGCCGCGGUAAUACGGAGGGUGCGAGCGUUAAUCGGAAUUACUGGGCGUAAAGCGCGCGUAGGCGGUUCGUUAAGUCCGCUGUGAAAGCCCUGGGCUUAACCUGGGAACGGCAGAGGAUACUGGCGAGCUAGAGUAUGGUAGAGGAGAGUGGAAUUUCCGGUGUAGCAGUGAAAUGCAUAGAGAUCGGAAGGAACACCAGUGGCGAAGGCGACUCUCUGGACCAAUACUGACGCUGAGGUGCGAAAGCGUGGGGAGCAAACAGG
rnacentral:rRNA from 1 species